GCCACAUCCAGAAGUAGGGGGACAAGAAGUCAUGAGACAAAUGCGGGACAGGGAACAUUUGGAAAUAACGACACAGGCUCUAGUCCAACCAUGGGUGAAAACUGGAUUAAAUUUACUUUUGGGGUUCUGACUUUUCUCCCUCAUGCCGGAAUUAUCAAGGAAAGAGUCUUGGCCUAACCAGCAGGAUCAGAUGACACUGCCGAACCCAUCGCUGGCAGCAGCUGCACCAAAAGAGACACUCUUUCCUGCACUGGACUGGCACAAGAAGUCAACAUUUGUUUUCUUGUAGUUUGGGUCAAUUCCAAAAAGAAAAGCAGGUCCCUUUUCUCACAAUUCCCCUCUGUGACGAAGCGUCAGAGCAAAGUGUUUUAUGGUCAGCGGAGGUGCGGACGGAUCUGGGCAUAAGAUGGACAGUCAGGGUGUUUGAUCGAGAGAUAAUAAAUGAGUCAAUCGGGUCUAUUCACAGGAGAGGAGCUUAAGUGAGAGCAAGGGGAUCAGCUGAUGAGUUCUCCCAAAACGUACUGAAACCUCUGCUGUAAUUAUAGAUACUUGACAGAGUUACAUUAGUUCAGAAAUCAUGAAAAAUGCAAAAGAAAGGUUGCGCAAAUGUAAAAAAAGCACAUGCAAAUUUGAAUAUUUGACAGAAAAGGGGGGAAUAAUGCACAAGAAUAAGCAAAGUUGCACAUUCCAUCCCGGUAAAUGUGGAUUUUUGUGUUUACAACAGUUUUUAUCCUUUUCUUUCAAACGCCUCAGAGGAUUAGCUCAUGUCUUUACCUUCCUGUGCCUUUUGGAACUCCACCAAUCACCUUUCUCACUCAUCUUAUGUAUUCCUCAGGUCCUCCGUGUCCACAACAACACUCAUCCUGCAGUCACCGACCACCUUGGACAUCUUAGCCAGAAUAAAAGCAGCAAACCGGUCAAUUUUACACCAAACAGAACAGGAUGUUCGGACUGUUAUUACUGCUUAUUGAAAACAUUUGGUCAUGUUAGGCUCCAAAAUUUAACUCUCUGCAGGAAGCUUCAGCUGAGUUAAAGUAAAAAAAAAACUGUUGCCACUGGCAACUGGACAUGCUUCACCACAUUUGUCCUCCAAUAUCAAUGCUGCCACUAGAGAUUCAUGCCACGAAAAACACUUCUGUUAAACAUCUCUUCAAUAUUCACAGUAUUUGUCUUGUUUGUUACGUUUUGCCUAGAUCAGAAACUGUUCCCUGACAUUUUGCAAAUAUAUGCUCUAGUUUCAAGGUUCCCCUUCAUGACACACAGGUGUCCUCUGGUAAAAAUGUCUUUAAUUAAAGUAGGUAUAGCUCAGAUCAUCUAUGUAUGAUUCUGACAAGAAACUUAAAAAAAAAA